rnacentral:lncRNA from 1 species
UUGAUCUGCGCUGAGAGGAUUACCUUGAUGGCGCCUGUUGUUCCUCUCACGCCAAAUACUAUGGAUGCUAGCUUGGAGAGCAAGCUUCAGGAGACAUGUAUCAAUCUCUCUCCUGCGAUGAGAUAGAAGAGAUGCGACGGUGAUAUUCCAAUCAGGAUUCACACGAGAACCCAAGAGGAACCCUACUAGAUCGAUCCAUACUGUAAAUGAGUAAGGGCAUGCGAAGGACAGGUGGUCACGAGUUUCGUCCGGUUCACCACAGAGGAGACACG